UCCAGAGGUCUCAAGCGUUGUUCGGAUUCAUUGGGCGUAAAGGGUGCGUAGGCGGCGCGGUAAGUCGGGUGGGAAAUCUCGGAGCUUAACUCCGAAACUGCAUUCGAUACUGCCGUGCUUGAGGACUGGAGAGGAGACUGGAAUUUACGGUGUAGCGGUGAAAUGCGUAGAUAUCGUAAGGAAGACCAGUGGCGAAGGCGGGUCUCUGGACAGUUCCUGACGCUGAGGCACGAAGGCCAGGGGAGCAAACGGG
rnacentral:rRNA from 1 species